rnacentral:lncRNA from 1 species
UAGCUGUUAAUAUCGUCUUUCCAUGUCCUUCAGGAAGUUCAUGCACAGAUUGGAGAGCAAGCGCAAAAGCCAUGGCUCCUCUAAGCCCUAUUUGUCCAAAAUCCAGAUAAUGAAAAUUAGCCUUUUAGAAGCCUUUAUCAUAUACUCCCUCCAUCUGGAAAUACUUGUCGAAGGAAUGGAUGUAUCUAGAUGUAUUUUAGUUCUAGAUACAUCCAUUUGUAUCCAUUUUGUGACGAGUAAUUCCAGACGGACGGAGUAUGUAUCAAGUUGCCAAUUACAGUAUAAUGAAACUCACCACUGAAACAAAGAGCCUUCUGGUGAUUUAGAGGUAUACGCCGAUGUUCUGGCCGUGAUAUAUUAACCAAGUAGGCACAAGAAAAGACAUUUGCUGCCCUACACAGAAACAAAAUUGCAGGAAAGAAUGUCAAGAGAGUGUGCUUGUU